rnacentral:lncRNA from 1 species
ACAACUCAAUUUUUAUUUUUCACUAUUUUUCUUCCAAGCAAGCAUUCAUUUUCAUUCUUUCUAUUUUUGUUCUUUUCUUUCACAUCAAAUAUACAAAACAGAUGUUUCUUUUCUAUAUUUUCUAUACAUAUAUUUUUCUAUGCUUGCUCGGUUUUUCUUUUCUUUUUCAAGAGUUGUGGUACUUACCGAUUCUUUUUCGUUCUCCCCAACUUAUUUCUUACUCACCCUAAGUGAAUGCUCUUAACUUUUUACGGCAAAAGAACAAUAAUCAAGAUUUUCCGGGUUGUAAAAAAAAGAUUUUUGAGAUCUCGCUUUAUUUCAAGCCGAGAUUCAACUGUUUAAGCUCAAAGGGGUUAACAAAUACUCUCUCUGCUCACAGGUAAGUUGUUUUUGGAUGUAGUUGUGCUCGAAAGAAA